UGAGGAAUAUUGGGUCAAUGGGGCGCAGGCCUGAACCAGCCAAGUCGCGUGAGGGAUGACGGUCCUACGGAUUGUAAACCUCUUUUAUGAGGGACGAAGGACGUGACGGUACCUCAUGAAUAAGCCACGGCUAACUACGUGCCAGCAGCCGCGGUAAUACGUAGGUGGCAAGCGUUAUCCGGAUUUACUGGGUGUAAAGGGCGCGUAGGCGGGGAUGCAAGUCAGAUGUGAAAUCUAUGGGCUUAACUCAUAAACUGCAUUUGAAACUGUAUCUCCUGAGUGCUGGAGAGGUAGAUGGAAUUCCUUGUGUAGCGGUGAAAUGCGUAGAUAUAAGGAAGAACACCAGUGGCGAAGGCGAUCUACUGGACAGUAACUGACGCUGAGGCGCGAAAGCGUGGGGAGC
rnacentral:rRNA from 1 species